rnacentral:rRNA from 1 species
UACGUAGGGGGCAAGCGUUUGUCCGGAAUCAUUGGGCGUAAAGCGAGCGUAGGCGGCCCGAUAAGUCUGCUGUAAAAGUCAACGGCUCAACCGUUGAAAGCCGGUGGAUACUGUCGGGCUAGAGUUCGGAAGAGGCAAGUGGAAUUCCUGGUGUAGCGGUGGAAUGCGCAGAUAUCAGGAGGAACACCGGUGGCGAAGGCGGGUCUCUGGGCCGAUACUGACGUGAGGAGCGAAAGCGUGGGGAGCGAACAGG